rnacentral:rRNA from 1 species
CACUCCUGCGGGAGGCAGCAGUGGGGAAUAUUGCACAAUGGGCGCAAGCCUGAUGCAGCCAUGCCGCGUGUAUGAAGAAGGCCUUCGGGUUGUAAAGUACUUACAGCGGGGAGGAAGGCGAUAAGGUUAAUAACCUUGUUGAUUGACGUUACCCGCAGAAGAAGCACCGGCUAACUCCGUGCCAGCAGCCGCGGUAAUACGGAGGGUGCAAGCGUUAAUCGGAAUUACUAGGCGUAAAGCGCACGCAGGCGGUCUGUCAAGUCGGAUGUGAAAUCCCCGGGCUCAACCUGGGAACUGCAUUCGAAACUGGCAGGCUAGAGUCUUGUAGAGGGGGGUAGAAUUCCAGGUGUAGCGGUGAAAUGCGUAGAGAUCUGGAGGAAUACCGGUGGCGAAGGCGGCCCCCUGGACAAAGACUGACGCUCAGGUGCGAAAGCGUGGGGAGCAAACAGGAUUAGAAACCCGGGUAGUCCC